rnacentral:misc_RNA from 1 species
CUUUGCGCCCAGCUGGACUGAAAUGCAACAAGCUGAAUCGAUAUACGUGCGGCUUGACCUGUUGUUGUAAGCAAUUUACAAUGGGGACGCACGAGAAUUGAACGAGCUUUUCAAAUGCUUUACCGCUUUGUGGACCCCUCUCGAGGGUGACCUUAGUGCAUUCUGACCUCAAAUCAAGUAGGACUACCCGCUGAACUUAA